rnacentral:rRNA from 1 species
GAUGAACGCUGGCGGCGUGCUUAACACAUGCAAGUCGAACGGUGAACGAGGGAGCUUGCUCCCUCCGGAUCAGUGGCGAACGGGUGAGUAACACGUGAGCAAUCUGCCCUGGACUCUGGGAUAAGCGUUGGAAACGACGUCUAAUACCGGAUACGAGACGCGAAGGCAUCUUCAGCGUCUGGAAAGAACUUCGGUCCAGGAUGAGCUCGCGGCCUAUCAGGUAGUUGGUGAGGUAACGGCUCACCAAGCCUACGACGGGUAGCCGGCCUGAGAGGGUGACCGGCCACACUGGGACUGCGAGACGGCCCAGACUCCGGCGGGAGGCAGGAGUGGGGAAUAUUGCACAAUGGGCGCAAGCCUGAUGCAGCGACGCCGCGUGAGGGACGACGGCCUUCAGGUUGUAAACCUCUUUUAGUAGGGAAGAAGCGAAAGUGACGGUACCUGCAGAAAAAGCACCGGCUAACUACGUGCCAGCAGCCGCGGUAAUAC